AUGAGCACGGCAUACCAUACCUUUUGCCCGUCGCCUGCCACUCCCUGGCUGUCCCCAUUAUGGAAAGUCCCCUUUCCUUUAAAAAAUAAGAUUUUUGUUUGGCAACUUCUACGGGACCGCCUCCCCUCGGGGACAGAGGUACUUAAGCGGCACGGACCUGGUAAUGGUCUAUGCCCUCUCUGUGCGGUACCAGAGACCGGGACACAUAUCCUCUUCUCGUGUAUCGCGGCAAUGGUACUAUGGACGUACGCCCGCGAGGCGUUGGGGCCUAAAUGGGAGGCCCUAAAUCUCGCGGUUUUUCUCCAACAUAGAGCUUUACAGCCGUCACGACAUCGCCGCUUUUUUUGGUUUAUUUUUGCGGCGAUGCCGUGGACUCUUUGA
rnacentral:rRNA from 1 species